rnacentral:rRNA from 1 species
GAUGAACGCUGGCGGCGUGCUUAACACAUGCAAGUCGAACGGAAAGGCUCCUGCUUGCCGGGGUCCUCGAGUGGCGAACGGGUGAGUAACACGUGGGUGAUCUGCCCUGCACUUCGGGAUAAGCCUGGGAAACUGGGUCUAAUACCGGAUAGGACGAUGGUUUGGAUGCCAUUGUGGAAAGUUUUUCGGUGUGGGAUGAGCCCGCGGCCUAUCAGCUUGUUGGUGGGGUAAUGGCCUACCAAGGCGUCGACGGGUAGCCGGCCUGAGAGGGUGUACGGCCACAUUGGGACUGAGAUACGGCCCAGACUCCUACGGGAGGCAGCAGUGGGGAAUAUUGCACAAUGGGCGCAAGCCUGAUGCAGCGACGCCGCGUGGGGGAUGACGGCCUUCGGGUUGUAAACUCCUUUCGCUAGGGACGAAGCGAAAGUGACGGUACCUGGAGAAGAAGCACCGGCUAACUACGUG